CAGGUUGUCUCUUGUAGGUGGAGGUUUGUGUGCGGCAGUCCAAGAGGCCUCUUUCUGUGGAGCCAGGUCUACCAUACUCGGACCUAGUGUGGAAGAAGUCACAUGGCCUGAAUGGCUAACUUGUGAUGAGCCAGGAACUGAGAUUCCUCCCCAAGACCCUCGGCCUCAUGGGAUGGAAAAUGGAGAGUGACGUCAUCUCUGAAGGAAUCAUCGGCUCCCUCCCCACUGCCUGCUCCCAGCUUCUGGGGAGGUCAGUGUGGGGACUGACUCAGACUGCAGCCCCAGCACUUUGGCAACUCUUCCCAUAGAGCACCUUACAGAGAAGGCCUUAUGGUUCCCCUCUGCCUGUGCUCGAGAUGACUGGCUAAGAGCUUUGCUCUUGGUUCCCAGUCAGCUGUUCCAACUGCUCAUCCCUUUCCUCAGUAGCCACUGAACCAAUAAAAGAAAAUUCUUCCCUGGGCUACACCUGAUGGUGUUCAGGUUACUC